rnacentral:rRNA from 1 species
GACGAACGCUGGCGGCGUGCUUAACACAUGCAAGUCGAACGGAAAGGCCCUGCUUGCAGGGUACUCGAGUGGCGAACGGGUGAGUAACACGUGGGUGAUCUGCCCUGCACUUCGGGAUAAGCCUGGGAAACUGGGUCUAAUACCGGACAGGAGCCAUUUUUAUUGUGAUGGUUGGAAAGUUUUUUCGGUGUAGGAUGAGCUCGCGGCCUAUCAGCUUGUUGGUGGGGUAAUGGCCUACCAAGGCGGCGACGGGUAGCCGGCCUGAGAGGGUGGACGGCCACAUUGGGACUGAGAUACGGCCCAGACUCCUACGGGAGGCAGCAGUGGGGAAUAUUGCCCAAUGGGCGCAAGCCUGAUGCAGCGACGCCGCGGGGGGGAUGACGGCCUUCGGGUUGUAAACUCCUUUCGCUAGGGACGAAGCUUUUUGUGACGGUACCUAGAUAAGAAGCACCGGCUAACUACGUG